GAGCUUGCUCGUUAUGAAGUUAGCGGCGGACGGGUGAGUUACAGGUGGGUAACCUGCCCAUAAGACUGGGAUAACUCCGGGAAACCGGGGCUAAUACCGGAUAACAUUUUGAACCGCAUGGUUCGAAAUUGAAAGGCGGCUUCGGCUGUCACUUAUGGAUGGACCCGCGUCGCAUUAGCUAGUUGGUGAGGUAACGGCUCACCGAGGCAACGAUGCGUAGCCGACCUGAGAGGGUGAUCGGCCACACUGGGACUGAGACACGGCCCAGACUCCUACGGGAGGCAGCAGUAGGGAAUCUUCCGCAAUGGACGAAAGUCUGACGGAGCAACGCCCCGUGAGUGAUGAAGGCUUUCGGGUCGUAAAACUCUGUUGUUAGGGAAGAACAAGUGCUAGUUGAAUAACCUGGCCCCUUGACGG
rnacentral:rRNA from 1 species